GUGAGACACACCUGGGGACACCUGGGGACACACCUGAGAUACACCUGGGCACACCUGGGGACACCUGGGGUACACCUGGGGAUACACCUGUACACACCAGGGCACACCUGUACACACUGCAGCAAGGUGAGACACACCUGGGCACACCUGAGAUACACCUGGGGACACCUGGGGACACCUAGGGAUACACCUGGGCACACCUGAGGGGGGUGACGGUACCCAGAGUGCACUGGGAGCACUGCAGCAAGGUGAGACACACCUGGGCACACCUGAGAUACACCUGGGGACACCUGGGGACACCUAGGGAUACACCUGGGGACACCUGAGAUACACCUGGGCACACCAGGGCACACCUGUACACACCUGGGCACACCUGGGGACACCUGGGGACACCUGGGGAUACACCUGGAACACCUGAGGGGGGUGACGGUACCCAGAGUGCACCGGGAGCACUGCAGCAAGGUGAGACACACCUGGGCACACCUGGGGACACCUGGGGAUACACCUGGAACACCUGAGAUACACCUGUACACACCUGGGGACACACCUGAGAUACACCUGUACACACCUGGGGAUACACGUGGAACACCUGAGAUACGCCUGUACACACCUGGGGACACCUGGGGGACAGCUGGUGACACCUGUCCUGCCUGUUUCUCUCACCUGUGUCAUUCACUUGUCUGUUUCUCUCACUUGUGCUCACCUGCCUCACCUGUCCCUCACCUGUAUCUCACCUGUCCCAUCUCACCUGUCCCUCACCUGUAUCUCACCUGUCCCAUGUCACCUGUCCCUCACUUGUCUCACACCUGUAUCUCACCUCUCACCUGUCUCACACCUGUAUCUCAUCUGUGUCUCACCUGUCUCACACCUGUGUCUCACCUGUCCCAUCUCAACUGUAUCUCCCAUCUCUCAUCUGUGUCCCUCACCUGUCUCACCUGUAUCUGUGUCCUGUCUCUCACCUGUUUCUCACCUGUCUCUCACCUGUCUCACCUGUCUCACCUGUCCCACCUGUGUCUCACCUGUCCCACCUGUCCCACCUGUCUCACCUGUGUCUCACCUGUCCCAUCUCAACUGUAUCUCCCUUCUCUCAUCUGUGUCCCUCACCUGUCUCACCUGUAUCUGUGUCCUGUCUCUCACCUGUCUCUCACCUGUCUCUCACCUGUCUCACCUGUCUCACCUGUCCCACCUGUCUCACCUGUGUCUCACCUGUCUCACCUGUGUCUCACCUGUGUCUCACCUGUCUCACCUGUCUCACCUGUGUC
rnacentral:lncRNA from 1 species